rnacentral:tRNA from 1 species
GCGAAGUUCCGGCGCACCUGCUGACCAUCAGUUGCCUUCCGAAGGCAGGGGUCAGACGUUCGAAUCGUCUCGGGCGCGCCA